rnacentral:rRNA from 1 species
AACGAACGCUGGCGGCAGGCUUAACACAUGCAAGUCGAGCGCCCCGCAAGGGGAGCGGCAGACGGGUGAGUAACGCGGGGGAACAUACCCUUUCCUGCGGAAUAACUCCGGGGAACUGGAACUAAUACCGCAUACGCGAUACGGGGGAAAGAUUUAGCGGGGAAGGAGUGGCCUGCGUUGGAUUAGCUAGUUGGUGGGGUAAAGGCCUACCAAGGCUACGAUCCAGAGGUGGUCUGCGAGGAUGAUCAGCCACACUGGGACUGAGACACGGCCCAGACUCCUACGGGAGGCAGCAGUGGGGAAUAUUGGACAAUGGGGGCAACCCUGAUCCAGCCAUGCCGCGUGAGUGAAGAAGGCCUUAGGGUUGUAAAGCUCUUUCAAUAGGGACGAAGCGUGAGUGACGGUACCUAUAGAAGAAGCACCGGCCAACUACGUGCCAGCAGCCACGGUAA